rnacentral:misc_RNA from 1 species
AUGAAUAUCCUGAAUGGAACUCAUCAUUAGACAUGUUUGAAGGUUCUGCUAGAAAAAUGACAGUUGAUAGCAGAGACAGCUGUAAGCUUAUGGCAAAACAUGGACGUGGAGAGAUUAGAACUAGUACUGGUUCAGGCAAUGAUCUUCGAAGUCCCUAUGUUGGAAAAGUUGAUCGGGAGCAAGUGAAACCACGGUUUAGUAGCCGUAGUGAAGUGAGUCUUACGGCUUUGGAGAAGGAACAUUUAGAUCGCAAGCCUUCUGAUUUUAACGGAAGCGGGUAUCCUAAUUUCAGGGAGAGAGAGCUUCACAAAAUUGUUGAAAAGGACCACAUCAGUGGAAAGAGGCCAGUAGUUGAUGAGAACUCUAAUCUAGUUCGUGUGAAGGUUCAGGUUCCCCGGCACAAUGAGAUAACAAUUGUUCAACGAGCACCAGUUGAAGUUCCUGACCAUCAAGCGUACUUGAGGAGAGCAUCUAU